rnacentral:rRNA from 1 species
UACGUAGGGGGCAAGCGUUGUCCGGAUUUAUUGGGCGUAAAGAGCGUGUAGGCGGCCAGGGAGGUCCGUUGUGAAAACUCGAGGCUCAACCUCGAGACGCCGAUGGAAACCCUCGCGUAGAGUCCGGAAGAGGAGAGUGGAAUUCCUGGUGUAGCGGUGAAAUGCGCAGAUAUCAGGAAGAACACCCGUGGCUAAGGCGGCUCUCUAGUACGGUACUGACGCUGAGACGCGAAAGCGUGGGGAGCGAACAGG